AACGAACGCUGGCGGCAUGCCUAACACAUGCAAGUCGAACGAGACCUUCGUGUCUAGUUGCGCACGGGUUCGUAACGCGUUUGAACCUUCCCUUAUGUUCGGAAUAACUCAGAUUAAUUUGUGCUAAUACCGGUUAAUUUCUUCUUACCAAAGAUUUAUCGCCUUUGGAUGUGCCCUCGUAUGAUUAGAUUGUUGGUGGGGUAAUUGCCUACCAAGGCGACGAUCGUUAGCUGGUCUGAGAGGAUGAUCAGACACACUGGGACUGAGACACGGACGAGAAUACUACGGGAGGGAGCAGUGGGGAAUAUAGGAAAAUGGGAGAAAGAAUGAACAAGCAAUGACGCGAGAGUGAUGAAGGCCUGAGGGUUGUAAAGCUCUUUUAAAAGGGAUGAUAAUGACAGUAACUGGAGAAUAAGCACCGGCUAACUCCGUG
rnacentral:rRNA from 1 species